rnacentral:tRNA from 1 species
GCCUGGCUGGCUCAGUUGGUAGAGUGUGCAACUCUUGAUCUUGGGGCUGUGGGUUUGAACCCCGUGUUGGGUA